rnacentral:rRNA from 1 species
GAUAAACGCUGGCGGCAUGCCUAACACAUGCAAGUCGAACGGACAGACCAGGAGAUCUCUCCUGUGAGGUUAUGGGCGGACAGGGGAGGAAGGGGUAGAAACGCUACGUCAACGUCUGGUGUAACGUCGAAAAACCGCGACAAAUACCAGCUAAUAUCUCGUAACGAAUUGGUCACUCGUGAAGUACGGUUUUGCUGUCGCUUUUAGGUGGACCCGCGACGCUUUAGCUAGUUGGUAAGGUAAAGGCUUACCAAGGCAACGAUGCGUAGCCGACCUGAGAGGGUGACCGGCCACACUGGAACUGAGACACGGCCCAGACUCCUACGGGAGGCAGCAGUAGGGAAUCUUCCGCAAUGGGCGAAAGCCUGACGGAGCAACGCCGCGUGAGUGAUGAAGGUCUUCGGAUCGUAAAACUCUGUUAUUAGGGAAGAACAAAUGCGUAAGUAAUUAUGCAUGUUUGGACGGUACCUAAUCAGAAAGCCACGGCUAACUACGUG